rnacentral:misc_RNA from 1 species
AACGCACCUUGCGCCUCUUGGCUAUUCCGAGAGGCAUGCCUGUUUGAGUAUCAUGAACACCUCAACUCUCACGGUUUGCCCGUGAUGAGCUUGGACUUCUGGAGGUUUUGCUGGCCCGCGGUCGGCUCCUCUCAAAUCGAUCAGCUUACCAGUGUUUGGUGGCGUCAUGGGUGUGAUAACUAUCUACGCUUGUGGCCGUCCGCCAGGUAACCUUCAGCGAUGGAGGUUUGCUGGGGCUUACAAAUGUCUCUCCCCAGCGAAGACAGCUUUUUGAACGUUCGAUCUCAAAUCAGGUAGGACUACCCGCUGAACUUAA